CAAUAGCGUAUAUUAAAGUUGUUGCGGUUAAAAAGCUCGUAGUUGGAUCUCGGCGGGCAGGGGGUGGUUCGCUCUUCAGCGCUACUGCCCCGCUUUGCCCGUGUGAUUGGCGGAGGUUUCGGGGUGCUCUUCGUUGAGUGACUCGGAGCACCGUCAGGUUUACUUUUGAAAAAUUAGAGUGCUCAAAAGCAGGCUUUUACGCCUGAAUAUUCGUGCAUGGAAUAAUAGAAUAGGAAGUCGUUUCUAUUUUGUUGGUUUUCGGAAAUCGACUUAAUGAUUAAUAGGGACAGUCGGGGGCAUUUGUAUUCAAACGACAGAGGUGAAAUUCUUGGACCGUUUGAAGACAAACUACUGCGAAAGCAUUUGCCAAGAAUGUUUUCAUUAAUCAAGAACGAAAGUUAGAGGUUCGAAGAUGAUCAGAUACCAU
rnacentral:rRNA from 1 species